rnacentral:rRNA from 1 species
AACGAACGCUGGCGGCAGGCCUCAAACAUGCAAGUCUAGGGGGUGUAGCAAUACAUCACCGGCGGACGGGUGCGUAACGCGUGGGAAUAUACCUAUCGAUUCGGAACAACUGAGGGAAACUUCAGCUAAUACCGAAUACGUCCUAACGGAGAAAGAUUUAUCGUCGAUAGAUUAGCCCGCGUUCGAUUAGCUAGUUGGUGGGGUAACGGCCCACCAAGGCGACGAUCGAUAGCUGUUCUGAGAGGAAGAUCAGCCACACUGGGACUGAGACACGGCCCAGACUCCUACGGGAGGCAGCAGUUGGGAAUCUUGGACAAUGGGGGGAAACCCUGAUCCAGCCAUGCCGCGUGAGUGAUGAAGGCCUUCGGGUUGUAAAACUCUUUCGCGCACGACGAUAAUGACGGUAGUGCGAGAAGAAGCUCCGGCUAACUUCGUGCCAGCAGCCGCGGU